GACGUAGGAGACAAACGUUAUCCGGAUUUACUGGGCGUAAAGGGCGUGUAGGUGGUUUCGUAAGUCUGGCGUGAAAUAUCUCGGCUUAACCGAGGCAGGUCGUCGGAUACUGCGGAACUGGAGGACGGUAGAGGCGUGUGGAAUUCCGGGUGUAGUGGUGAAAUGCGUAGAGAUCCGGAGGAACACCAGUGGCGAAGGCGACACGCUGGGCCGUACCUGACACUGAUGCGCGACAGCAUGGGGAGCAAACAGG
rnacentral:rRNA from 1 species